rnacentral:rRNA from 1 species
CUUGUAGGUGGUCUGGUAAGUUGGACGUGAAAACUCCGGGCUUAACUUGGAGAGGCCGUUCAAUACUGCGAGACUGGAGGAUGUCAGAGGGGAGUGGAAUUCCUGGUGUAGCAGUGAAAUGCGUAGAUAUCAGGAGGAACACCCGUGGCGAAGGCGGCUCCCUGGGGCAUCCCUGACACUGAGAAGCGAAAGCUAGGGGAGCAAACGGGAUUAGAAACCCCGGUAGUCCUAGCCGUAAACGAUGGGUGCUGGGUGUGCGCGGAUCUAACCCCGCGCGUGCCGAAGCUAACGCGUUAAGCACCCCGCCUGGGAACUACGAGCGCAAGCUUAAA